rnacentral:rRNA from 1 species
GGUUAAGCGACUAAGCGUACACGGUGGAUGCCCUGGCAGUCAGAGGCGAUGAAGGACGUGCUAAUCUGCGAUAAGCGUCGGUAAGGUGAUAUGAACCGUUAUAACCGGCGAUUUCCGAAUGGGGAAACCCAGUGUGAUUCGUCACACUAUCAUUAACUGAAUCCAUAGGUUAAUGAGGCGAACCGGGGGAACUGAAACAUCUAAGUACCCCGAGGAAAAGAAAUCAACCGAGAUUCCCCCAGUAGCGGCGAGCGAACGGGGAGCAGCCCAGAGCCUGAAUCAGUGUGUGUGUUAGUGGAAGCGUCUGGAAAGGCGUGCGAUACAGGGUGACAGCCCCGUACACAAAAAUGCACAUAUUGUGAGCUCGAUGAGUAGGGCGGGACACGUGGUAUCCUGUCUGAAUAUGGGGGGACCAUCCUCCAAGGCUAAAUACUCCUGACUGACCGAUAGUGAACCAGUACCGUGAGGGAAAGGCGAAAAGAACCCCGGCGAGGGGAGUGAAAAAGAACCUGAAACCGUGUACGUACAAGCAGUGGGAGCACGCUUAGGCGUGUGACUGCGUACCUUUUGUAUAAUGGGUCAGCGACUUAUAUUCUGUAGCAAGGUUAACCGAAUAGGGGAGCCGAAGGGAAACCGAGUCUUAACUGGGCGUUAAGUUGCAGGGUAUAGACCCGAAACCCGGUGAUCUAGCCAUGGGCAGGUUGAAGGUUGGGUAACACUAACUGGAGGACCGAACCGACUAAUGUUGAAAAAUUAGCGGAUGACUUGUGGCUGGGGGUGAAAGGCCAAUCAAACCGGGAGAUAGCUGGUUCUCCCCGAAAGCUAUUUAGGUAGCGCCUCGUGAAUUCAUCUCCGGGGGUAGAGCACUGUUUCGGCAAGGGGGUCAUCCCGACUUACCAACCCGAUGCAAACUGCGAAUACCGGAGAAUGUUAUCACGGGAGACACACGGCGGGUGCUAACGUCCGUCGUGAAGAGGGAAACAACCCAGACCGCCAGCUAAGGUCCCAAAGUCAUGGUUAAGUGGGAAACGAUGUGGGAAGGCCCAGACAGCCAGGAUGUUGGCUUAGAAGCAGCCAUCAUUUAAAGAAAGCGUAAUAGCUCACUGGUCGAGUCGGCCUGCGCGGAAGAUGUAACGGGGCUAAACCAUGCACCGAAGCUGCGGCAGCGACGCUGAUGCGUUGUUGGGUAGGGGAGCGUUCUGUAAGCCUGCGAAGGUGUGCUGUGAGGCAUGCUGGAGGUAUCAGAAGUGCGAAUGCUGACAUAAGUAACGAUAAAGCGGGUGAAAAGCCCGCUCGCCGGAAGACCAAGGGUUCCUGUCCAACGUUAAUCGGGGCAGGGUGAGUCGACCCCUAAGGCGAGGCCGAAAGGCGUAGUCGAUGGGAAACAGGUUAAUAUUCCUGUACUUGGUGUUACUGCGAAGGGGGGACGGAGAAGGCUAUGUUGGCCGGGCGACGGUUGUCCCGGUUUAAGCGUGUAGGCUGGUUUUCCAGGCAAAUCCGGAAAAUCAAGGCUGAGGCGUGAUGACGAGGCACUACGGUGCUGAAGCAACAAAUGCCCUGCUUCCAGGAAAAGCCUCUAAGCAUCAGGUAACAUCAAAUCGUACCCCAAACCGACACAGGUGGUCAGGUAGAGAAUACCAAGGCGCUUGAGAGAACUCGGGUGAAGGAACUAGGCAAAAUGGUGCCGUAACUUCGGGAGAAGGCACGCUGAUAUGUAGGUGAAGUCCCUCGCGGAUGGAGCUGAAAUCAGUCGAAGAUACCAGCUGGCUGCAACUGUUUAUUAAAAACACAGCACUGUGCAAACACGAAAGUGGACGUAUACGGUGUGACGCCUGCCCGGUGCCGGAAGGUUAAUUGAUGGGGUCAGCGCAAGCGAAGCUCUUGAUCGAAGCCCCGGUAAACGGCGGCCGUAACUAUAACGGUCCUAAGGUAGCGAAAUUCCUUGUCGGGUAAGUUCCGACCUGCACGAAUGGCGUAAUGAUGGCCAGGCUGUCUCCACCCGAGACUCAGUGAAAUUGAACUCGCUGUGAAGAUGCAGUGUACCCGCGGCAAGACGGAAAGACCCCGUGAACCUUUACUAUAGCUUGACACUGAACAUUGAGCCUUGAUGUGUAGGAUAGGUGGGAGGCUUUGAAGUGUGGACGCCAGUCUGCAUGGAGCCGACCUUGAAAUACCACCCUUUAAUGUUUGAUGUUCUAACGUGGACCCGUAAUCCGGGUUGCGGACAGUGUCUGGUGGGUAGUUUGACUGGGGCGGUCUCCUCCUAAAGAGUAACGGAGGAGCACGAAGGUUGGCUAAUCCUGGUCGGACAUCAGGAGGUUAGUGCAAUGGCAUAAGCCAGCUUGACUGCGAGCGUGACGGCGCGAGCAGGUGCGAAAGCAGGUCAUAGUGAUCCGGUGGUUCUGAAUGGAAGGGCCAUCGCUCAACGGAUAAAAGGUACUCCGGGGAUAACAGGCUGAUACCGCCCAAGAGUUCAUAUCGACGGCGGUGUUUGGCACCUCGAUGUCGGCUCAUCACAUCCUGGGGCUGAAGUAGGUCCCAAGGGUAUGGCUGUUCGCCAUUUAAAGUGGUACGCGAGCUGGGUUUAGAACGUCGUGAGACAGUUCGGUCCCUAUCUGCCGUGGGCGCUGGAGAAUUGAGGGGGGCUGCUCCUAGUACGAGAGGACCGGAGUGGACGCAUCACUGGUGUUCGGGUUGUCAUGCCAAUGGCACUGCCCGGUAGCUAAAUGCGGAAGAGAUAAGUGCUGAAAGCAUCUAAGCACGAAACUUGCCCCGAGAUGAGUUCUCCCUGACUCCUUGAGAGUCCUGAAGGAACGUUGAAGACGACGACGUUGAUAGGCCGGGUGUGUAAGCGCAGCGAUGCGUUGAGCUAACCGGUACUAAUGAACCGUGAGGCUUAACCUU